rnacentral:rRNA from 1 species
CGGAGGGUGCAAGCGUUGUCCGGAUUUAUUGGGUUUAAAGGGUGCGUAGGUGGUCAUUUAAGUCUGAUUUGAAAGCAAGCGGCUUAACCGUUUGAUGUGGUUGGAAACUGAAUGACUUGAAUGGGUUGGCGGUAGCCGGAAUGGGUCAUGUAGCGGUGAAAUGCAUAGAUAUGACCCGGAACACCGAUUGCGAAGGCAGGCUACUACGACUCGAUUGACACUGAGGCACGAGAGCAUGGGUAGCGAACAGGAUU